UACGUAGGUGGCGAGCGUUGUCCGGAAUUACUGGGUGUAAAGGGCGUGUAGGCGGGAGAUUAAGUCAGAUGUGAAAUUCCCAGGCUCAACUUGGGCGCUGCAUCUGAAACUAAUUUUCUUGAGUGCUGGAGAGGAAAGCGGAAUUCCUAGUGUAGCGGUGAAAUGCGUAGAUAUUAGGAGGAACACCAGUGGCGAAGGCGGCUUUCUGGACAGUAACUGACGCUGAGGCGCGAAAGCGUGGGGAGCGAACGGG
rnacentral:rRNA from 1 species